rnacentral:lncRNA from 1 species
GCCGCCUGUUUCAAGUCAGUCAAAACAUUCCAGACUUCAAAAGGAGGCUCUGCCUUCUUAGGCCAUUUUGGUGUCCCUCUAUGGUUGGCCUAGAAGGGAUCGGUUAUUUGGAUAAAUUAAUUUCUGGAGCCUGCUGGCCUUCUAGAAGACCUCAGUGUCUGACUGCAAAUUAGUUCUACUGAACAUGAAGAAAUCCCUGGACAGGCUAGAAGAAAUAAAU